UAAACAUACCCUGACUUAGAUUUGGCGGCCUGUCCAGGGUGGGUUCCUGCCUCUUGCCCAAUGCACAGUGCUGGAGUCCGCUGUUUGGUGCCGGGGGUCUACAUGAAAUUGUCAUUUCCGAGUGUGUUUUACAGAAAGGAAAAGCAAUAUCAGAGCGCCACGACGGAGACCGGAACAGAUCAGGGUCUCCGAAAGAAAUGGAACGCGUGACAAACAAAUGAAAUUCGAUCGAACUCCGCGCAGCUCCGCCUAAUGUGACCGAGGGGAGAAGACACAGAGAAUCAGACGCGCGCCAGAUACGUAUGACGUCUCAGUGGAGCUUUGUGAUGACUGGAAAUGACAGAUAGACCUGCAUCAGGUUGUGAUUGGAAACUACACCGGCCCAGAGUGCUGUUCCUG